UGUAACUCUCCGCUCCCGGAAUCAUGACAAGCGAGCUUCUGGCAUUUUCAGCGGGGACGCACUUUCAUAAGUUGCGCUGUUAUUUCAGUACCAUCGUCAUCGUUACACAAGAUAAAGCGGACAUGGGUGACGUUCCAAUGAUCUGAACAUGGAGGUUCAGCCGAAGAAAAGAUCGAGGAACCGAACGAGGUCCUCCACUGCCAGUGGAUGUGUUGGCCUUGGCCUGUGCUCUCUCCUUGACCCGCUGCUGAGCUCCAAUUCCCUUUCUCCCGUCACCGUGGGAUACCUGGCUUGAUUGACAGCUCUAAAGAGUGCAGCCACCCGUGGCCAGGACGGCAGUAACGGCCACGACGCCAGCGUUUCAUUCGCACCAAACCCAGUGGCGGAACCAUGAUGAAGAUGAGAUGGAUUUGGACUGGAUUUGCCAUUUGGAUUUGCAUGAUGGUUGCCAGGUCCACGUCACAAAUCCCCCCCUCUGUUUGACCACUGAAAGAUGUUCACUGACGUUUCAGAAAAGGGAGAAGCUCACUUUGCCCUCAAGGUCCAGUAUUUCUCUCUCUCUCUCUCUAGAUGGAUGACAUCAUUAUCAGUGAUAUACUGACCCUCAACACUGCAGGAUUACUACACACUUUAUGGCAAGCCCCAAAAGGUCUGUGCCCAGGUGAGUGUGCACCUGUCUCAACUGCCAUAUACUCCCAAACUCACACGCACACACACACACACACACACACGCGCACGCACACACACACACACACACACACUGGAGCAGAUCUUCCUAUGCUGCCAAUGGAUGUUACUGUAUCGUAUAUGAAUGAGUUUGCUGACACACCUCCUGCUAACAACAUAACCUGUUGGCACACUUCUUUUAUAUUAUCCAUAAUUCUAGCGUGUUAUAUGGCUGGAGAUUGUUUUUGUCUAACUGGCUAGUUCUCUUCUAUUGUGUUCUCUGUGUGUUUCUGUGUGUGGGCUGAUCUCUGUGUGCUUGUGUGAGUGCUCUGCUCAGACUGGCGCCUGCCCUGACAGAAGAGCUUCCAGCAGCGCUGAAGGUGUGCACUUGGCUCCUCCACUGUCACCUCCAUGCUGUGCCAUGGUAACGCCGAUGUUUGUUUGAGUUGAUAGAGUCACUUCCUCACCCAACCAGUCAUGCACAUGCUGAGCUCUUCCAGCUGUCCCUCUCUCUCUCUCUCUCUCUCUCUCUCUGUGUGUGUGUGUGUGUGUGUGUGUGUGUGUGUGUGUGUAUGUGUGUGUGUGCGCAAAUGCAUCCAUAGAGCUCAUGUUUGUAUGAGAAUAUAUAUCAGAAUAUAUUUUCGUGUGUGUACUUGUGUAAUGUGUGUGCGUUUGUAAGUUCAUGUUUGGAUGGAUGUGUGUGUUUUUUGUGAGUGAGUAUUUGUGUAUGUGAGUGUGUGUGUAUGUGUAUGUAUAUAUACACACAUAGUUUGUGUGUGUUUGGGAGGGGGGGGUAUUCUUGUCUUCACCUUACAUUGUGUGGUUGCAGCACUGCCUUGGUCCGUCCCCCAAAGUCUUCCCCGGGAAGCUGGUUUCAGAUGGUGGAUUAGAUGUACGCUUCUCUGGUCUAGCACCAUUUGAAAUCAGUGUUCCCGGGGGCAGAAGAGCAUCUGUGACACAGGGGUCACCAAGAGGUCAAGACAGGGUCAUUCACAGCCUACACGUGGAUCACACAAUCACAAGGACUGGAUAUACAGACAAAAUAAAAAAUACCACACCAUAAAAAUAUUACACCAAUUUCCACUCCACAGGAUUAGAAAUAUCUAUGGUUCCUACACAACUGAAGUGUAUCCGUAUGACAUUCAUUUGAUGUUAUUGGUUUCCUUGCCUGUAGGGAUUCUGUAUAACACAGGGCUGGAGUGGUGAUAUGUAAACUGGGUAGUCUUACUGAAGGUGGCAGUGAAAGAACAAAUUAGCCUAGCUUGCAAAUGAGUGCAUAAGUUACAGUGCUGUCAUUAAUUACUGUGCAUGACCUGCUAUGUAAGCAUGGUUGCUGUAUAGCCUUGCGGUGAGAGAGCCAACUACACGCACAAAUUGGACUAAAAAACAGACACAAAGGUCAUUAUCUUUUGAUGAAUGUGUGCUACCUCAAAUAUAUCCCCAUCCAGCAACGUACCACAGGCAAUAUUUUAGUGUGCAAGGCCAUGGGUAACAAGAGGCAACACACACACACACACACACACACAAACACAAGCUCUCUGCCUCCCUCUCCCACCCUGACAUUUCUCCCCCCACCUAAAGAUGACUGAUUUCCUCUGGUGUUUAGAGCCGCCUUGCCUUCUAGCACCAUUUGAAAUCGGUUAUGAUGACUGGGGAUCAAUGCUGCAGUGCAAACCUACCGGCACACGGGAGAGAGGGGCGAUCACAGGGACAGACUUCAGAGCUACAACAGCAGAGCUACAAUACAGACUUCAGAGCUACUUUGUGGGAAUAGCUGAAAUGUAUAGGAAUGAUUAUUUUUAAAGCAACUAUCAUCCUACCACAGAUAAUAAGGCUGUAUCUCUCUCUUUCUCUCUCUCUAUCUCUCUAUCUUUCAUCUAUCUAUCUAACUAAGUUUGGCUGGCUGUCUUUCUUUUGAUUUGUCUCUCCAUCUGUCUGUCUGUAUAACCAAAUAAAGUUUUUAAAGACCA